rnacentral:rRNA from 1 species
GGGCAGGCUGCCCAGUGAGAUACUUAAACGGCCGCGGUACCCUGACCGUGCAAAGGUAGCAUAAUCAUUUGUUCUUUAAAUAAGGACUCGUAUCAACGGCACCACGAGGGUUAUACUGUCUCCCCUCUCUAAUCAGUGAAACUGACCUCCCCGUGAAGAGGCGGGGAUAAAAAUACAAGACGAGAAGACCCCAUGGAGCUUUAAACCCAAUAACAACCCCUUUUAAAAACAUCAAAAAAACUCUACGGUAAUGUUUAUUGGUUUUAGGUUGGGGUGACCACGGAGCAAAACAUAACCUCCUUGACGAAUUGAUUUCAUCCUAAUCCAAGAGCCACUGCUCUAAGAAUCAAAAAUUUGACGUAAUAUGAUCCGGCAACCGAUCAACGAACCAAGUUACCCUGGGGAUAACAGCGCAAUCCAUUUCAAGAGCCCCUAUCGACAAAUGGGUUUACGACCUCGAUGUUGGAUCAGGGUAUCCCAGUGGUGCAGCCGCUACUAAAGGUUUGUUUGUUCAACAAUUAAAACCCUACGUGAUCUGAGUUCAGACCGGAC